CACCAGGGCUCACUGCUAAUAACAAUCUUCAUUUUUCUAAUGAAAAUUACACAAAUUUAAGACAAAAAUUUCAAAAGGGAUGAGAGAGUACCCGGUGGAAAGUGAGACCCCAAUCUCAUUUCUCAGAGGAGAGCAUCACUGAUGGUUUCCUCUGAAUUCCUCCAUUCUAUGAAAUACCCAUACCUAGAGUGACAGAGCGGACACAGUAACCAUUUUUAAAAGGCAAAGACACAGAGACUUUCCUGGUGGUCCAGUGGUUAAGACUCUUCCAACACCGGGGGCCUGGGUUUGACCGUGGUCAUGGAACUAGAUCCCACAUGCCCAAACCAAAGAUCCCGCAUGCUGCAGGAAAGAUCCUUCAUGUCACAACUAAGACUCAGCACAGCCAAAUAAAUAAAUCUCUAAAAAGACACAAUAAAGAAUAUUUUUUUUAAAUACUUAAAAAAAUACACAAAUAAGAAGGGAAAAAAUCUUAGGCUACCUCUGGCCUCUGAUGGGCUCAGUGCCUAAGGUAAGACCAUGGGAAAACAUAUGCACAGCUGUGCACCAGUGCUCCUGGCACCUUCUCACACGGUCACACACACAUCCUUAGGAGGCGGGCCCCAGCGGCCAGCGACCUUGAGGGCGCCCUCCUCACCCUCAGUCACACUGUCCUGCGGUUCUCGCCUCCCAGGAGGAGCACAUGCAUAUAGCGACACAGAGCAUCUUGCUUCUGCCUCUGCGUCCUCAAGAAAAGAAGCCAGCCUCCAUCUCCUUAGGGCCCACACUUCCGAGGGGUCUGGCAUCCCUAUUCCACCUCAGGCUGAAGGAGAAAGAGGAGAGGGAUGUUUUGUCUGUGUCUCCAGAUGGGAAACAAGGCCCUGUGAUUGAUUCUUUGCCCACAGCUGAGGUGGUCAGGAUGCAGAGCCGGCCAUGGCUGGCAGCUCAGAUCCUCGGCUCAGUGCAGAGGCCUGAGUUGGAGGGAUGGGGCACUAAGUGAUGGGAGGGGGAGCCAGGGCGGUACAGGUCAGUGUAUCCAACUUAUGUCCUAGAAUCAGGAACAGAAGACUAGCAUGACUGCAGUUAGAUGAAAUGUCCGGAAAGGGCGUAUUUAGAGAAACAGAAAGCAGACUAUGGAGUAGUCCCAGCUGGGACUGGGAGCAGGCAUUGACUGCAGGGUAGGGCCCAAGGAAACCUUCUGUGGUGAUGGGAAUGUUCUAAAACUGGACCGUAAGGAUGACUGCACAACCCUACAAGUUUACAUUAAACUGUACACUCACAGCUGGCAGAUUUUACUGAUAUAAGUUGUUCCUCAUAAAGCUGUUUUCAAAAAGGCAAUAAUAAAGUACUGAAAAUAGUAUAAUGAGAUUCAACAAGUAGUUCAUGACCAAUUUAUGUCUUGUUUCAUGUAUGUGCAUAUUCAACUUCCUCACUGUACUGUUGUGAUACAAAUUCAAGAUCAUAUUAUUACAUUUGUGUGUGUGUGUAUAUAUAUAGGCCACGUCACAUGGCAUGUGGGAUCUCAGUUCCCCAAUCAAGGAUCAAACCUGUGCCCCCAUGCAGGGGACGUGCAGAGUCUUAACCACUGGACCACCAGAGAAGUCCCCAUUUGUAAAUAUUUUAAUAUAUGUCUCUAAAAGAUAUUUUUAAAAAUCAUAAUAAAAAUACCAAAAAAAAAGUAACAAAAAUAUCAGGGUUGAAAAACUUUGUAAGAUUUUCUUACUGUCAUCAAAUAGUUCAUCAAUGUUCAAAUUUCCAAUUUGUCUUACCUAUGUUAUAAAUAUUUGUUUACAAUUUAUUUAAAACAAGCCACAUCAAGUCCACAUAUGGGGAUUGGCUGACAUGCCUUUUAAGUCUGUUUUGAUCAACAGGUUCCCCCUGCAAAUCUUCUCUCCUCCCCUCAUUUUUCCUGUAGAGGUUUCUGCAGUCUGGAGUUUGCUGAUGAUACUUCUAUACUGGCAUUUACAAUGUUCCUCAAUGCUAUAAACUGGAGUUGGAUCUGGAGGUGUAAUCAGAUUCAGGUUCAAUCUGGGGCAAGACUACCUCACAGGUGGUGGUGUGUGCUCCCACCAUGGGGCACAGAGUAUCUGGAUGUCUCUAUUUUGAUGUUAGCAACCACCAUGCUCAAUGCCCAGAACCAUUCAUUCAUUUGUUCAUUGAAUAUACCAAUAAAAAUAUUAUAAAACUCACCUGAGAAAACCACCUUAACAACUGAAGUAUAAUAAAAUCCUCUUUAGAGAGUUCCCAGUGGUCUAGUGGUUAAGACUCUGCUCCCACUGCAGGGGGCUGGGAUUCGAUCCUGGGCAAGGAACUAAGAUCCCACAUGCUACAGCUAAGACCCAGCACAGCCAAAUAAACAAAUAUUUAAAAUAAAAUAGGACUCCCCUGGUGGUCCAGAAGAUCCCACAUGCCCCACAGCAACUGAGCCUGUACACCACGACUAUUGAACCUAUGCCCUAGAGCCCAGGAGCCACAACUACCGAAGCCCGCUAUGCCCCAGAGCCUGUGCUCCAAACAAGAGAAGCCACAGCAGUGAGAAGCCCAAGUACCAGCAACAAGAGAGUACCUUUGACUUUCCAGAACUACAGAAAAAGCCAGCACAGCAACAAAGAUACAACACAGGCAAAAAUAAAACAAUAAUUUAAAAAAAAAACACUAAUAAAAUACUCUGUAACCAUCACUCAUGCACAUCAAGAGAGAGAUCUUCAGCCACCCAGAAACUUGCAUGUGUUCAAUUCCAAUCAUGGCCUCCUUAUUCCCUCCAAAUGAACCACUGCCCUUACUUUUACAGGAAGGACCAAAAAAAAAAAAAAAAAGGACAUAAAACCAUAAAGAAACAGGAAGUUAUCACCCAAAUGUGCAUCCCUAGUCAUGUGGUUUCACCUUCCUCAUUGUUUAUAUGCCUCUUAAAUCUCUUUAAAUCUAUAGCUGUGGGGAUACAUUUUUAAAGCAUGUGUUCUACGUGAGACACUCCGUGGGCACUAAAGGAGCUAUAAAACAGGGGUGAAGAGGAGUCUGAGACCUGAGACUCCCUCUGGCUUGGGAAGGACCAGAGUUAACUCAAGAAGAGAAGUCAGAUGAAUGUUAUGGAGGGACAUGUGAAGGGUGCAGAGAUUCAGAGAAAGCAGAAGUUAAGCAUGUGCAGGAUCUCUUCAGGUUCAAUCUCACACUCCAGCUUUAACAUCUGGAUCACACAUCACCUCCAGCCAAGAAGAAGCCACAGAGACCAGAUAUAUCUUCCCUUCGAUUUUGUUUUUCCAUAGGUGACUUUCCUUUCUCAGAUAUGUUGGAGAGGAAGCAGGGCUGAGAUUCUCUGCCCUAAUCUACACCAUACCCACCUAACUCAGGUACAUUCUUAGUCUGAGUUCCUCCCCAUCCCUGUGGCUAGGAUGUUUUCUUGCUGGUGACGUCAUUCACGAGGACAGUUUCAUGAAGGUGAAGAACAUCUGGAGUCCUAGUCCUCUUCUUCCCGGUGUCAGGAAUCU
ensembl:lncRNA